rnacentral:lncRNA from 1 species
CUCUACGUUUGAUCUCAUUAUCUCGCGUUUAGACUACUGUAUCAACAACAUCCGAGAACAUACAGAUUCAUCAUUGUUGCUCAAGCCGCUAAGCUUUUUAUGCACAUAAUCCAACUUCUUAUCACCAUGUCGCCCAUACACCCUAUGGUGGUCUUUACUCUUUAUGUGCACAUAAAAGUUAGCAUCAUCUCAAAACAAUAUAGUAUUUAAAUCAUAGUCAUCAAAUCAAGCUUUAACAUUAUAAAUAAUGCUUGAAAACAUAACUUUUCAUAGAAAUCUCUUUGAAACAUUAUCAUUUGAAUUCUUCUUUCAAAUAAGAGAAAUCAUAAUAAAGUUUCUUAACAUAAAUUCAUUUGAGAGAAAAGCACUCACCAAAUUUUACUAAAGAAGUCAUUCUUCUUCCUCUCGCAAGCAUCUUCUCGCGUGGCUAAACCAACAACAUUUAAACAUUUUAACAAAAACUCUUCUCAAUUUGCCAGUUCCUACUUAAAACUUCACACGUGAAAAUUUAAUAUUCAACAUAGUCAUGCUUAAAUCCUUAAUUAUCUUACACGUUAACCCCUGUCAAGUUAGAUUUGACAUUUUCAUCGCCAGACCUUGCUUCUCGCCUAACCCAAAUCGCAAAUAAUUUCAACCACUUAAUAUUUCUUGCGAAUAACCUUAUCACGUGGUUGUAAUUUUACUGCAAGAAACCUUCCACCUGAACUAACCAACUUUUACUCAUAGAACUCUUAUCACGAACUUAAACUCCAAGGUUUCCUCGCAGACUUCUUCUCUGUGAAACACUUGGUUCUUCUUGCGAAGACCACCCAAAACUCCUAGUCUAACACUCAAAUUUUACACUUCACUUACACAGACUUUUUCUCUUCUUAAUUAUCGCACAACUUCUUUCGCGAACUACCCACUUAAUCGCAAAAACGUAUACUUAACCAUAAAAUAUUUUAUUGCCUAAUCUUUUUCACGAAUUUAUUCAAACGCCAACUUCUUAAUACUUAGUCGAAUUUUAGUUCCUUAUGCAAAUUAGAAAUGAGUCUCACAUUAGUAACAAGAGUGAGUUAUAGUUGCAAACAAAGAAGAUUGAAAGAAGGAAAAUCUUAUUGUUUCGCAUAAAAAAAAUAUUUGUAAUUUUUCCUACUCAAUAUGUUUUACCGUAGUAAAGGAGAGUAAAGGUCGAACCCAAAGGAGUGAUGGAUGGAAUAGAAAACUUUCUUAAAAUCAAAACUAAUGAGAAACAUUGUUAGUAGACAAGAGAAAGUAUCAAAAAGUGCUGCAAGAAUUUAAAGAACAAUUAUGUGGACAAUAAUUAAAAGAAAAUUGAAGGGAAUUUCAAUCUAACUCAACAAAACUAGAAUUAAACUUCUCAAAUAAAUAAAAGAGGCAAGGGCAUUGGCUUUGGGUGCAAUCUUUAUCAUUGGAUAAGAAAACAAACAAAGAAGAUAUGAAAUUUAAAAUGAUUAUUGGCCAAAUUGUUUGGGUGUUCA